rnacentral:pre_miRNA from 1 species
UCAUAUCAGAUUUGCAUUAUUAUUAUGAAUUAAACAUCAAUAAAUGCAUUAUCUGGUAUGAUA